GAUUCUGGCUCAGGAUGAACGCUAGCGGCAGGCUUAACACAUGCAAGUCGAGGGGCAGCGGGAUGUAGCAAUACAUUGCCGGCGACCGGCGGAUGGGUGCGUAACGCGUAUGCAACCUACCUUAUACAGGGGAAUAACCUUUCGAAAGGGAGACUAACACCCCAUAGUAUUGAUUUAAGGCAUCUUAGAUUAAUUAAAUAUUUAUAGGUAUAAGAUGGGCAUGCGUAUGAUUAGCUAGUUGGUAAGGUAACGGCUUACCAAGGCGACGAUCAUUAGGGGUUCUGAGAGGAAGGUCCCCCACACUGGUACUGAGACACGGACCAGACUCCUACGGGAGGCAGCAGUGAGGAAUAUUGGUCAAUGGGCGCAAGCCUGAACCAGCCAUGCCGCGUGCAAGGAAGACGGCCUUAUGGGUUGUAAACCGCUUUUACAUAAGACUAACCGUAUAUUUGCGAAUAUACCUGAAUGUAUUAUGAGAAUAAGGAUCGGCUAACUCCGUGCCAGCAGCCGC
rnacentral:rRNA from 1 species